rnacentral:SRP_RNA from 1 species
GCCCGGUGCAGUGGCGUGUGCCUGUAGUCCCAGCUACUCAGGAGGCUGAGGCUGGAGGAUCACUUGAGCCCAGGAGUUCCGGGCUGUAGUGCGCUAUGCCGAUCAGGUGUCCACACUAAGUUCAGCAUUAAUAUGGUGACCUCCCUGGAGCGGGGGACCACCAGGUUGCCUAAGGAGGGGUGAACUGGCCCAGGUUGGAAACCGAGCAGGUCAAAACUCCUGUGCUGAUCGGUAGUGGGAUUGCACCUGUGAAUAGCCACUGCACUCCUUCCUGGGCAACAUAGCGAGACCCCAUCUCU